AGAAAUAGAUACGAUGAAGUCAGAUGACUAAAAUGCAAAAGAGCUGAAUAGAUAAGGUUCCAUCGUUAUCUUCUCUCUGUGUGUAUACUAGUACGAAGGAAGCAAUCCAUUUUUUUUUUUUUGCGAUCAGGAAGCAAUCCAUUUGUGGCUUCGGUUCUGCGUGGAGACACUACCGUCUACCGUGAAUCUCCAGCAACGCCGAUUGCCACCGUUGCGGACUUAGCGCGGGGCCUCCUCCACCGCGUGAUGCGGCUGCACUGCGGAGAGCCGGGCCGAGGGCGUUGUCGCCGCCGCGCUUUGCGUCUCGUGGCCUGCCACCAUGCGGUCUGAGGACCACGCCGCUGGCGUCCGGGAGAGGCUCUAGCCCGCCUCGCUGUAGAUGAGGUCGAGCCAUGGUUGUCGGGCGUCGCGUGGUCGUCGCUGGUACGCAGGAAGUCGGCACCUCCGUGCCCGCUAGUCGCCACAGAAGGAGCGGAGCGGGUGGAGACGCGGGGGCCAAGGACCUCGCCGCCACGCCUUGUCGUCGUUGUUUUCCUCAAGAUUGCCGGAGUUGCUUGGAUGCCGACGGGUAGCGCGGGCGCGAGCGCCAAGCAUGAGGGUGGCAUCACAGGUGGGCUGUCGGGCGGUCCGUGGUGUGCCACGGAUAGGCAUAUGAGGACUCCGUCGCCGGGCGAGCGUCGCACGCUGGCCGUUUUGCCUUCAGAUGCGGGAGAAGAGCCCUGAGCGCCUUGCCACCGUUAAGACGCCUCCCCGUCGUUUUCUUCUUGUUCCGUGUGGCCAUUUCUCAGCAGAGAGCAAAAGUGCGUGAUAACGUGUUUAAAGUAGAAAGUAAAGAACGAGAGAGUUUGAAUGAAAGAUGAUCCAUUAGUCUUUAUUGAUGAUAGAAGUGGGGUAUUUAUACCCAGGCGGAAGUACACAUGGUGCUUGACGGUCAAGUAAACACAUAGUUACUUGAGAGCCAAGGAAUUACAUAGUUGCCUUGAGAACCAAGGAAGUA